rnacentral:rRNA from 1 species
UACGUAGGGGCCGAGCGUUGUCCGGAGUUAUUGGGCGUAAAGCGCGCGCAGGCGGCUUCGCGCGCCCGCCGUGAAAGCCCCCGGCUUAACCGGGGAGAGUCGGUGGGGACGGCGGAGCUUGAGGGCGGGAGAGGUCGGUGGAAUUCCCGGUGUAGUGGUGAAAUGCGUAGAGAUCAGGAGGAACACCGGUGGCGAAGGCGGAUCUCUGGGCCGAUACUGACGCUGAGGAGCGAAAGCGUGGGGAGCGAACAGG